rnacentral:rRNA from 1 species
UACGGGGGGGGCAAGCGUUGUUCGGAAUUACUGGGCGUAAAGGGCUCGUAGGCGGCCAACUAAGUCGGACGUGAAAUCCCCAGGCUCAACCUGGGAACUGCGUCUGAUACUGGAUGGCUUGAAUCCGGGAGAGGGAUGCAGAAUUCCAGGUGUAGCGGUGAAAUGCUUAGAGAUGACAUAGAACACCAAUUGCGAAGGCAGCUGGCUACACAUAUAUUGACACUGAGGCACGAAAGCGUGGGGAUCAAACAGG